rnacentral:rRNA from 1 species
GACGAACGCUGGCGGCGUGCUUAACACAUGCAAGUCGAACGGAAAGGCCCUGCUUUUGUGGGGUGCUCGAGUGGCGAACGGGUGAGUAGCACGUGAGUAACCUGCCCUUGACUUUGGGAUAACUUCAGGAAACUGGGGCUAAUACCGGAUAGGAGCUCCUGCUGCAUGGUGGGGGUUGGAAAGUUUCGGCGGUUGGGGAUGGACUCGCGGCUUAUCAGCUUGUUGGUGGGGUAGUGGCUUACCAAGGCUUUGACGGGUAGCCGGCCUGAGAGGGUGACCGGCCACAUUGGGACUGAGAUACGGCCCAGACUCCUACGGGAGGCAGCAGUGGGGAAUAUUGCACAAUGGGCGGAAGCCUGAUGCAGCGACGCCGCGUGCGGGAUGACGGCCUUCGGGUUGUAAACCGCUUUCGCCUGUGACGAAGCGUGAGUGACGGUAAUGGGUAAAGAAGCACCGGCUAACUACGUGCCAGCAGCCGCGGUGAUACGUAGGGUGCGAGCGUUGUCCGGAUUUAUUGGGCGUAAAGGGCUCGUAGGUGGUUGAUCGCGUCGGAAGUGUAAUCUUGGGGCUUAACCCUGAGCGUGCUUUCGAUACGGGUUGACUUGAGGAAGGUAGGGGAGAAUGGAAUUCCUGGUGGAGCGGUGGAAUGCGCAGAUAUCAGGAGGAACACCAGUGGCGAAGGCGGUUCUCUGGGCCUUUCCUGACGCUGAGGAGCGAAAGCGUGGGGAGCGAACAGGCUUAGAUACCCUGGUAGUCCACGCUGUAAACGGAGGGUACUAGGUGUGGGGUCCAUUCCACGGGUUCCGUGCCGUGGCUAACGCUUUAAGUACCCCGCCUGGGGAGUACGGCCGCAAGGCUAAAACUCAAAGGAAUUGACGGGGCCCCGCACAAGCGGCGGAGCAUGCGGAUUAAUUCGAUGCAACGCGUAGAACCUUACCUGGGUUUGACAUGGAUCGGGAGCGCUCAGAGAUGGGUGUGCCUCUUUUGGGGUCGGUUCACAGGUGGUGCAUGGCUGUCGUCAGCUCGUGUCGCGAGAUGUUGGGUUAAGUCCCGCAACGAGCGCAACCCUUGUUCACUGUUGCCAGCACGUUAUGGUGGGGACUCAGUGGAGACCGCCGGGGUCAACUCGGAGGAAGGUGGGGAUGACGUCAAGUCAUCAUGCCCCUUAUGUCCAGGGCUUCACGCAUGCUACAAUGGCUGGUACAGAGAGUGGCGAGCCUGUGAGGGUGAGCGAAUCUCGGAAAGCCGGUCUCAGUUCGGAUUGGGGUCUGCAACUCGACCUCAUGAAGUCGGAGUCGCUAGUAAUCGCAGAUCAGCAACGCUGCGGUGAAUACGUUCCCGGG